GGGUAGAUGCCCGAGUGGCUAAAGGGGGCAGACUGUAAAUCUGCUAGCGAAAGCUUACGUUGGUUCGAAUCCAUCUCUACCCACCA
rnacentral:tRNA from 4 species